CAGGCCGCGAGGAAAAGGCGAGUAGCUGAUUGUUUUGCCAUCCAGAGAGGCGGUGGAAGGUGCGAACCGUCCAAAAUGAUCAGUGAAUCCACCUUGGAGCGAGGCACGAAGCGAACCGGGUUCGCAUAAGUGUUUUCGGUGAACGAACCGUUAUCUCGUCAGAGCGGGCCGGUGGAUGCGUCCACGGCCAAGAAGGGUGGCAACGCGGAACCUUCCGUCCCUUGU
rnacentral:ncRNA from 1 species